GGCAGCUAGCUCUCUGCAGCUCUCACAUUGUCGCCCAAAAAAGCUAAGCAGGGCUGCGCCUGGUCAGUACCUGGAUGGGAGACCACAUGGGAAAGUUAGGUUGCUGAUG
rnacentral:rRNA from 1 species